rnacentral:misc_RNA from 1 species
AACGCACCUUGCGCUCCUUGGUAUUCCGAGGAGCAUGCCUGUUUGAGUGUCAUGAAAUUCUCAACUGCCUUUUUAGCAUUUAUGUUAAGGGGUGAAGUUGGAGUUGGAGGAUAACUGCUGGCGCAACUCAGGUUGCUUGUUGGCUCCUCUUAAAUGGAUGAGCUUUUCUGAUGGAUCGUAGCUUGGCGUGAUAAUUAUCUACGUUAGGCUCCUACGGAAAAGGGACGUCUUUUGACUUGUAACAAAAUCUGACCUCAAAUCAGGUAGGACUACCCGCUGAACUUAA